AGAAGGGCGUUUGGUGAAUGCCUUGGCACUAAGAGGCGAUGAAGGACGUAGCACGCUGCGAAAAGCUUCGGGGAGUUGCGAGCAAACUUUGAUCCGAAGAUUUCCGAAUGGGGAAACCCACCGUUUUACGGUAUCUCAUAGUGAAUUAAUAGCUAUGAGAAGCAAACCCGGCGAAUUGAAACAUCUCAGUAGCCGGAGGAAAGGACAUCAACAGAGACUCCGCUAGUAGUGGCGAGCGAACGCGGAUCAGGCCAGUGGUCUGAAGUGAGGAACCGGAACGGCUCUGGAAAGGCCGGCCAUAGUGGGUGAUAGCCCCGUAUGGGAAUCCAAUCUUUAGGCCCUUGAGUAAGGCGGGACACGUGUAAUCCUGUCUGAACGUGGGGGGACCACCCUCCAAGCCUAAGUACUCCUUAGUGACCGAUAGUGAACAAGUACCGUGAGGGAAAGGUGAAAAGCACCCCGACGAGGGGAGUGAAAUAGAUCCUGAAACCGAGCGCCUACAAGCAGUCGGAGCGGACUAGAUCCGUGACGGCGUACCUUUUGUAUAAUGGGUCAGCGAGUUAGUCUUUGCAGCAAGCUUAAGCCGUUAGGCGUAGGCGCAGCGAAAGCGAGUCUGAAUAGGGCGAAUAAGUUGCAGGGAUUAGACCCGAAGCCGGGUGAUCUAGCCAUGAGCAGGUUGAAGACGCAGUAACAUGCGUUGGAGGACCGAACCCACUGAUGUUGAAAAAUCACGGGAUGACUUGUGGCUAGGGGUGAAAGGCCAAUCAAACUCGGCAAUAGCUGGUUCUCCGCGAAAUCUAUUUAGGUAGAGCGUUACGUGUUUACCAUCGGGGGUAGAGCACUGGAUGGGCUAGGGGGGCAUACAGCCUUACCAAACCUAACCAAACUCCGAAUACCGAUGAGUAUAGCGUGGCAGACAGACUAUGGGUGCUAAGGUCCGUAGUCGAAAGGGAAACAGCCCAGACCGCCAGUUAAGGUCCCCAAGUUGUAGUUAAGUGGGAAAGGAUGUGGGACGUCCAAAACAACCAGGAGGUUGGCUUAGAGGCAGCCAUCCUUUAAAGAAAGCGUAACAGCUCACUGGUCUAAUUAAGAUAUCCUGCGCCGACAAUGUAACGGGGCUCAAACUACACACCGAAACUGCGGGUGCACAAUUUCUUCGGAAUUUGUGCGCGGUAGCGGAGCGUUCCGUAAGCCUGUGAAGGGUAUCCGCGAGGAUGCCUGGAGGUAUCGGAAGUGAAUAUGCUGACAUGAGUAACGAGAACAGUGCGAGAAACACUGUCGCCGAAAGUCCAAGGUUUCCUGCGCAAGGCUAAUCCGCGCAGGGUGAGCCGGCCCCUAAGGCGAGGGCGAAAGCCGUAGUCGAUGGGAACCAGGUUAAUAUUCCUGGGCCUGCUGGUGGUGACGAAUGCUGUAAGUUGUCUAUCCUUAUUGGAUUGAAUGGGCAGCGAAAGCGUUCCAGGAAAUAGCCCCAGCGUAUAGACCGUACCCUAAACCGACACAGGUGGACAGGUAGAGUAUACCAAGGCGAUUGAGAGAACGAUGUUGAAGGAACUCGGCAAAUUGACCCCGUAACUUAGGGAGAAGGGGUACCUCUUUUUGGGCAACCAGAGGGAGGUGGCACAGACCAGGGGGUAGCGACUGUUUAUUAAAAACAUAGGACUCUGCGAAGUCGCGAGACGACGUAUAGGGUCUGACGCCUGCCCGGUGCCGGAACGUUAAGAGGAGGAGUGCAAGCUCUGAAUCGAAGCGCCGGUAAACGGCGGCCGUAACUAUAACGGUCCUAAGGUAGCGAAAUUCCUUGUCGGGUAAGUUCCGACCUGCACGAAUGGCGUAACGACUUCCCCGCUGUCUCCAACAUCGGCUCAGUGAAAUUGAACUCUCCGUGAAGAUGCGGAGUACCCGCGGUUAGACGGAAAGACCCCGUGCACCUUUACUAUAGCUUUGCAGUGGUAUUAGGGACGAUAUGUGUAGGAUAGGUGGGAGCCUAUGAAGCGUUGGCGCCAGUCAGCGUGGAGGUAACCUUGAAAUACCACCCUUGUUGUCUCUGGUAUCUAACCGAGGUCCGUUAUCCGGAUCCGGGACCCUGCAUGGUGGGUAGUUUGACUGGGGCGGUCGCCUCCUAAAGAGUAACGGAGGCGCGCGAUGGUAGGCUCAAGCUGGUCGGAAAUCAGCUGUGGAGUGCAAUGGCACAAGCCUGCCUGACUGCGAGGAUGACAGUCCGAGCAGAGACGAAAGUCGGUCAUAGUGAUCCGGUGGUCCCGCGUGGAAGGGCCAUCGCUCAACGGAUAAAAGGUACGCCGGGGAUAACAGGCUGAUGAUGCCCAAGAGUCCAUAUCGACGGCAUCGUUUGGCACCUCGAUGUCGGCUCAUCACAUCCUGGGGCUGGAGCAGGUCCCAAGGGUUCGGCUGUUCGCCGAUUAAAGUGGUACGUGAGCUGGGUUUAGAACGUCGUGAGACAGUUCGGUCCCUAUCUGCCGUGGGAGUUGGAGAAUUGAGAGGGGCUGCCCCUAGUACGAGAGGACCGGGGUGGACGAACCUCUGGUGGACCGGUUGUCGCGCCAGCGGCAUAGCCGGGUAGCUAAGUUCGGAAGGGAUAACCGCUGAAAGCAUCUAAGCGGGAAGCCUGCCUCAAUACUAGUUCUCCCUUGAGAGUCGUGGUAGACCACCACGUUGAUAGGCUGGGUGUGGAAGCGCGGUGACGUGUGAAGCUUACCAGUACUAAUAGCUCGAUUGAUUUGUUU
rnacentral:rRNA from 1 species